rnacentral:tRNA from 1 species
GGGGUUGUGGCUCAUUGGUAGAGCACUUGCCUCACACGUGUGAGGCACUGGGUUCAAUCUUCAGCCCCA